AGUGAACGCUGGCGGCAGGCCUAACACAUGCAAGUCGAGCGGCAGCGCGUCCGACCACCCUCGGGUGGUCGGAUGGCGGCGAGCGGCGGACGGGUGAGGAAUGCAUCGGAAUCUGCCUCGUUGUGGGGGAUAACGUAGGGAAACUUACGCUAAUACCGCAUACGACCUACGGGUGAAAGUGGGGGACCUUCGGGCCUCACGCGAUGAGAUGAGCCGAUGCCGGAUUAGCUAGUUGGCGGGGUAAAGGCCCACCAAGGCGACGGAUCCGUAGCUGGUCUGAGAGGAUGAUCAGCCACACUGGAACUGAGACACGGUCCAGACUCCUACGGGAGGCAGCAGUGGGGAAUAUUGGACAAUGGGGGCAACCCUGAUCCAGCCAUGCCGCGUGUGUGAAGAAGGCCUCGGUUGUAA
rnacentral:rRNA from 1 species